AUCAUUUUAUUUUUUGGAGAUGACGUCACGCCGGAAACGUAUAAAAGGCGAGGCUCAUGAGCCUCUUUCUUGGGCCGCCAGACUGACAGCAGCACGUCGACUGAAGCCGCCUGCCGAGUUCCCACAAAGACCAUCCGAAACUUCUUGCCAAGGAAGACGAGAGGAGCCCGGCCGUCUGCUGAAAAUCCUUAAUUCGCCUCUUCAAAUUCAAUCGACUGCUUUUUGGUAACUUUGCACCCCGACGGGUGUUGCUUUUGGCGUGCCUAACACCCGCUCUCAAAUUCCAACCCAGCGUGUGAACAAGAGGAGGCUCUUCUUCAAAUCGACCUGAAACGGCGUAUUCAAGGCCUGCAUCGUCACCAAGUGGACCCCAAAAUGGCUGACAUCCUCUGCGUCAUUUUGGGCAAGAAGCAAAGCUAACUAUAUUCUUACCUUGUCUUUCAGGCCGUCGCCGAGGUGUCCAACGCUCCUCGUCACUGUAAAGAUGGCCUGUUUGAGCGAGGGACCCAAGAUGCACCAAGUCAGCAUUUUAAACUUGGAUGCGCUGCAGGUUUUUCUAAUGCUCACUCAUGUCCGCUAGGCGGCGCCAGAGCACUUCUGGCCAAGUACUUGAUGCUGAAGUCGGCUACAAACAAGGGUUUGAAAAGAACAUUUUUGUGUGCAGGGCUGGCUUCCGGGACGACCGCGCCACAAAGAUCAUCCUGCACCUGCUGGGUUCGUCGGACAAAAAAAAUAUUGCAGAAGGUCUUCAAUGUUGAUGUGCUAAUAAAGCUACUGAUUAGCUUAAUUUUUUUUUUUCUCCUCUCUCCUCAGGUGUGACUUCAAAAACCGGAUGGACAUGGACUGAGGUGAGACUUCAGAAGGGAAGCGUUUUUGGCUUGGCAGACUCCAGGAUGACUCUGUUUGUUUUUUGCUGUACUGCAGAACGGGCACUCAUGAGACUUCCAGGGCCUUGACCCGCUUCCGGCCAGAGGCUCCUCAAGCACUUUUUCCAGUUCAACCUCAUCCGUUGCUGUCAGGUUUCCACACUGCCGUGAAUCUCCAAAUAUUGGAGGAGCUCAGUCCACUUGGAUGUUCUUUUGGUCGUUGCAGGUGGCAGUCACGAUGGCGCAAUCAGUCCUACAAAUUGACUCUCUUUUGAACCCUUCCUACUCAACACACCUGAUUGUUUCAAGCCUCGACAGGACUUGCUGAUAAUUUGAAUCAGGUGUGUUGCAGUAGGGAGGAAUCGAAAAACAGGCAAGAUGUGUCUCUCAAGGAACCGGAGUUCCUUACCCCUGCGCUACAGGAUCGGCAGAGUGCAGAUUAGCUAAGAACCAUGCAGAGGGAAUAAAAAAUGUCAGUUUUUGUUUUCAGGCCCAGGACGGACCGCAAUAAAGUACCUGAAAACAAGCAUGCCGUCGUGUCAUCCAUAAGGUGAUGAAGCCAAACUUGGUGGUGGCUGUGAAUUCCUGACACCUCAGUCCCAGAAAAAGUCACUCGUCAAACAUUUGCUGCACAAUGAAUUGAGGUCUGGGACGGAGUGCAAUGAAGUACCUGAAAAUGAGCGCGCCAGUCUGAGCGUCGCAUCAUCCACAAGAUGCCCUUGAAUUCCUGACACCUCAGUCCCAGAAAAAAAAUCAUUCAUCCGCAGCUUUCAUCACCUGUCAAACAUUUGCUGCACAACAAAUUGAGGUCCAGGACGGAGCACAAAGUACCUGAAAACGAGCGCGUCAGUCUGAGCGUCGCGUCAUCCACAAGGUGGUUGUGAAAUCCUGACACCUCAGUCCCAGAAAUAAAGUCACUCGUCUGGGGCUUUCAUCACCUGCCAAACAUUUGCUGCACAACAAGUUGAGGUAACUUUUUUUUUAAUCCAGGUACACUUGGAUCCCAAGGGCCAACCAACCACUUCACCAUGCAGCACCACUUGUCAAGCUGUCCAAUUUGUCACUUGUUUGCAACUUGAGAUUUAUUCUACAAAAGAAAUAAAAACUUAACAAAACUUGUUUAAACUCUGCUCAUUCUUU